rnacentral:sRNA from 1 species
UUAAAUAGCUGAAGAGUAUCUCAUUGUGUGAAUGAACCACAUUUUCUUGAUCAAUUUUUCAGUUGAGGGAAGGUCAGGCUGUUCCCAGUUCCUGACUAUUAUAAAUAAAGCUGCUAGGAACGUAGUGGAGGAUGUGUCCUUGUAGCACGGUGGAGCAUCUUUUGAAUAUAUGCCCAGGAGAGGUAGAGCUGGGUCUACACUUUGAGACACUGUGCUGCCCCAGACAAGAACUGUACCUUAACUGGCUUGAAACCCACUUCUCCUUCCUACUCUUCCAUGCCUUGUUCAAAGAGGACAAAAGCAAAGGUUUCAGUUACUGAGUAAACAGGCUAAAAAUGGACAUCCUGUGAAAGACUCGGAGACUGAGAAUCCACAGGAGUCGGAAGACUCCGAAAGGGCAGAGGACUGUCAUUUUACAAACACCUUUGUUCCUUUGGAUGUCUCCUUCCGCCCCUUAGAUCCUUUCUGUCACAUCCUGUUCCCCUCUUUUCAGUAACCUGUCCCCCUUUAUUUCUAUGGCCUUUGACUCAUUUCUGCAUCUCCUUUAUAUCUGUGCACAAUUAUUAGAAGUAUUUAAAAUAAAGACAUUUGCAGAACGGUAAAUGAAAAUGAUACAGUUCUUUUCAUUUUCCCGGUUUGUCCUCAUCAUGCUCCUUCUAUGUUCCUUGACCUUCCUUGCUGGGUAGAGGAGUCUCUCUUAGCUCCUGCACACAUGAAUCACGAAGUCGCUUCCGGAAUGAAGUCUACGUCCUUUUAAAGAGCACCUAACAUUUAAUUAGCUAUGUGCUUAUUUCUCAGAGCAAGGACAAUACCAUAUUCACAUUUUAAUACAGGAGGUAUUUACUUUUAUAAUGUGUGGCUUGUAAGACUUUCAUUUUCUACAAUAAGAUUGCCUAGAAUUACUAUUAAUUCUGUGAAUGAUCACUAAAUAUGAUUAGUGAGUGGUUUUGUGGCAUUAUUUUAAUAACCUCUUUACAAGGUCACCUUUUUGUAUUUUAUUUGGUUAAGUGAUAAACUUUCAAUAGUGGAAUGUAAAUUCAGCACAGCCUUGUUCACAGUUGUUAAGGGAAUACAAAAUGAAAAACCCAUCGCUGGUCCUGUUCAUGUCACAAAUGGAUUAAUACCGACUUUUGCUGAUUCGCUAACUGUCACAAACCUUGAAAUGAGGAAAUGGGAGACUUUACCUUUUGUGCUUAGUUUUGUCAACUGUUUGAGGUCAAGCUCCCGAAGAUAAGAAGGCACACCACACUGCAAAGAUGUAGAUAUAUAUACGUACUCUACAACAGUUUCAAACUGUCACUAUAGCUUCCCCAACCACAAGCUACCACCACUAGUAGGGAGAGAGACUCAAGUAUUUUAAGCAAUUCUCUCACACAAUAGCUUUUUGUUGUAGACAGUUAAGAUGUGGACUGAGGGUCAAGGGUACUGAGGAAUGUGAGUGGCAACCUUUUAUGCCUCUCACUUGUUGGUCUCCCUGUCUUUCCUCUCAGCUAUUCAAGGGGCUCUGAGGUGAAACUACUGUAAUGUAAGCAUUGAAUCUGCAAGGUAUAGUGACCCCAGGGCACAGGAAACAGAGGCUCCUACUUCACACCAGGACCCUAAUCAGCAUUUUAAUGUUUUGCAGGCUGGUAUUUAAUUAAGACACUGGUGCUCCCUAGUUUAAACCGUAGCACUGAGUCCUGUAACUUUCCCUGGAUAGUCAGCACAAUUACAAUCACUGGGGGAAAGGAGCAAAGGGGCCUCUCUCUAAAGAUGUCCUUCCUCUUUAAAGUGCAUCCCUGCUGCUGUGGUUAUUUAAAGGUAAAAACAACAAGGAUUUGUUUUGAAAGCUGAUAGAAUUGGAAUAAAAAGAAUAUAACUUUUAAGGCUAGAAUAAUCCAUUGUAGAUGUCACUUAUGACCUCUACAUGGUUGGUUUAUCUAAUGUCUCUAAUGUUCUCUUGCUCUGGUAAAAUAAAAGGAAGAACAUCCACUACAUACUCUGUAUGAGGACUGGAAGGGAGGUGUCAGGUCUACACUGUGGAUGCACUGGACAUGAGCUUGCUACUUCAGCCUUGGCACAAAACAAUUCCAGGUCAGAGUCCAGGCAGGGACCUGACUACAAAAGCUGACUCAAGGACCCUGAAACCAGGUGACCCAGAUAAGGCCCAGUCACCAAUGUUAACUUCCUUGCCUUUACCCUGGUAUCAAAAUAUGAUUGGACAAUGCAACAUCUCACCCAACUCCCCCUUGCUUUGUGUUCCCAUCCUACAAAAAUAUUGUGUUAUCUCUGUUUGGGGACAUAGUUCAGAUCCUGAACUGGUCGCCUCUCUGAGAGCUCAGAAAAUAAAGCUUUCAUUUUUUA